UGGGGAAUUUUGGACAAUGGGCGAAAGCCUGAUCCAGCAAUGCCGCGUGUGUGAAGAAGGCCUUCGGGUUGUAAAGCACUUUUGUCCGGAAAGAAAUCCUUGGCUCUAAUACAGUCGGGGGAUGACGGUACCGGAAGAAUAAGCACCGGCUAACUACGUGCCAGCAGCCGCGGUAAUACGUAGGGUGCAAGCGUUAAUCGGAAUUACUGGGCGUAAAGCGUGCGCAGGCGGUUUGCUAAGACCGAUGUGAAAUCCCCGGGCUCAACCUGGGAACUGCAUUGGUGACUGGCAGGCUAGAGUAUGGCAGAGGGGGGUAGAAUUCCACGUGUAGCAGUGAAAUGCGUAGAGAUGUGGAGGAAUACCGAUGGCGAAGGCAGCCCCCUGGGCCAAUACUGACGUUCAUGCACGAAAGCGUGGGGAGCAAACAGGAUUAGAUACCCUGGUAGUCCACGCCCUAAACGAUGUCAACUAGUUGUUGGGGAUUCAUUUCCUUAGUAACGUAGCUAACGCGUGAAGUUGACCGCCUGGGGAGUACGGUCGCAAGAUUAAAACUCAAAGGAAUUGACGGGGUCAUAGCUGUUUCCU
rnacentral:rRNA from 1 species